GGGAGGGUGAGAGAGAGUGGGAGAGGGAGGGAGAGGGAAAGACAGAGAGAAACGAUUGCAGAAUUUAGAAGUCUGCAAAAAGGAGAAGCUAAGCAAUCCGUUUCAGAGGCGAGGCAGGAGAAACAGAAAGGCGGAAAGAAGUGUUCAGAAGACGGGGGCCAGAUCCACCUGUAGAUCACUCGCUUCGGGGUCUCGCUGAACUGCAGCUACUUGUAUACCGGCUCGCUGCUCGUCGUUGGUGAAUCAAUCCAGCACAGAGGCGGUUUCAGCACCAGAGUCUGGACAGCUCCCGGAACUCCAAUCGACUCGCUCUGAGCUGAGCUGCGCCAAAAGCUACAGCUGAAGGACCAGUUAUAAAAAGCCAGGAAGGCGAUGUCAGACCUCCCUUCUAACCCCUCCGACCAGGCGACCUUAAAGGAGUGGACAUGUGUGCCACUGACCAGCUGACCAUUGGAGGUAGCUGGGGGACCCCGGUUCGGUGAACGGGGGAGCGGUGCACCCUGGUGGCAGGAGGGCUGUACUGCAACGUGAGGAAAGGCCCGACACGCUGGAAUGUUUUGGAGCGCAUUUCUGAUCUCUGGCAAGAGACGAGCUUUUCCUAAAACGAAGACAUCUCGUGUUUCUGUUUCAUGUUAUAAUUAAAUCUGUAUAUGUUUGGUCAAAUGCUGUGCUUUUCGUCCGCUGUGUGCAAUAUAUAUAUAGUCAGUUUCUGUAAUUUUAUAUUUUAAAAGCAUGCCUGUAUUCUACAUAAAUAUUAUUUUAAACGACAUAAAUGAUGAUGUACUUGUGGUUGAAACAGCAGGGGUUUGAUUGACACUUUAAGAUGAAAAAGCCCUCUCAUGAGCAUAUCUUCGCCUACUCACAUAAAUACCAGAAAUACGAAAAGAAACGUAAUAAAUUCAAUGACAAACCAUCGCUGUGUUGCAGAAAAAAAAACCGGCAUUGUAAUUGACUGAGUCAUUUAUAGACAUAUUGAGAACAAUGAGAAGCCCACAAACACAUCGUGCGCAAACUGCUUGGAGGUACUGACACAGGGAUCCAGUUCAUUUACUGACCACAGGAGGGCAGUGUUGUGCACAUGCAGCGAGCAAGUGCAGCUCAGUGCUGAAGCUACCCCGCCUGUGUUUUCUGCCCAUUGUUUCCCUGCAGAAUUGAUUCAAGGUCGCGCAGAUUGUUUGAGGCUGCCUGCCACUCAAUCGGAUUUCUCUCGUCCCGCCACUUAUAGGAAGCAUGGAGGGAGUGAAAUGAGAUGGUUCUUUUAGGGUGACUUCACCUGAAUUCAGGUCGUCAUUGCAAUACUAUGUGCAGUAUGUUCAAUCAUAAAACAUUUUUAAACAGUGUUAAAGACUGUAGUUUACGUCAUCGUGGCUACGCUAUGGGGGCCCGGAGUUAUGGGCGGGGCUUAGCCCCCCCCCACCUGUUUUAGAUUCUAAAUUGAUAUAAAAAAAAUCUUGAUAUAAGAAAUCAUUAAUUAAAUCAAAUUAAAGUAAAGCACGAUAAUAACAAAUCAUUUAAAAAUGUCGAGUUGCUUCUGGUGAUGGGAACCCCCGCAUUGUCAGAUUGUUUACAAGAGCGUAUGCUUUUUAUAUGCAGUAUUGAAUAGUCGGUUGAAAGAAGGCAUUAUAUGUACAUUCGUUACUUGACAGUGAUUUGGUGUGAGGGGGCUCUGUUCAUUGCAAUCUCUGCAUAGGGCCUGCUCACUGUCUGACUGUAUUGGUUUUAAGUACUGUUCCUCAGACACCACGUCGUUGCUGUGGUAAUAAUAAAUAAAGAAAUACGAGCUCGUUGAUUUAUUUUUUCUUUUCCAAACUGUGCCCGCCCUAUAAGUGGACGCCCCCCACAGCGUCCAUGCCGCCGCCCGGGCCUGGGCAG